rnacentral:rRNA from 1 species
AUUGAACGCUGGCGGAAUGCUUUACACAUGCAAGUCGAACGGCAGCACGGGGGCAACCCUGGUGACGAGUGGCGAACGGGUGAGUAAUGUAUCGGAACGUGCCCAGUCGUGGGGGAUAACGUAGUGAAAAUUACGCUAAUACCGCAUACGAUCUACGGAUGAAAGCGGGGGAUCGCAAGACCUCGCGCGAUUGGAGCGGCCGAUAUCAGAUUAGGUAGUUGGUGGGGUAAAGGCUCACCAAGCCAACGAUCUGUAGCUGGUCUGAGAGGACGACCAGACACACUGGAACUGAGACACGGUCCAGACUCCUACGGGAGGCAGCAGUGGGGAAUUUUGGACAAUGGGCGAAAGCCUGAUCCAGCCAUUCCGCGUGCAGGAUGAAGGCCUUCGGGUUGUAAACUGCUUUUGUACGGAGCGAAAAGGCUCUCUCUAAUACAGGGGGCUCAUGACGGUACCGUAAGAAUAAGCACCGGCUAACUACGUGCCAGCCGCCGCGGUAA